AGGAAGUGACAUGAUGAAAAUGGUGGUGGAGGACUUCAUUCUCACAGCUGUUGGAGGGCAAUUAUUUUAGUGGCUGACUGGCUGGGUGAGAGGCAAGAGAGGCUGGAGUGGGAGAGACCCACCAAGAAGCUGUUAUAAUAAUACAGGAUAAGAUGGUGAAGAUUGUAGAAUCAAAUUGAAAUCCAGAUAAGAAUUUCAAUAUUCUAGCAGUCCUUUCUAGGUCUAAAAAUAGUAAGGCAAUCCUAGGCUGUCCUAAUAUUAAUGUAGAGAGUGUUUUCUGAGAAGUCUCCCUAUAAAUCUUGGAAUUAUCUCAUGUUGUAGCUGGAAGGAUCUAGGGUCAUCUACUCCAGUGGUGGCUAAUUUGAAUGUCUUUCGAGGCCAGACAGAGAACUUCAGCCAACAAGUCUUCAGGUGCUCCUUCCUAUAGCAGAUGGUCCAGUUCACAGCCACAUCAGGGCAGCCUGGUUUCCUGUGCUGUGAGCUGGGUGCUUAUUCAGCUGCCUUGGCUUCGGUGGGCUUGCCGCACAGCGUAUUUUUGUUUCCGAACUAUUUUGGCCCUGGAAGGAUGUCUGGCCUCGUUUCACUUUCGGAACUCUGAUGAAAGCCACAGAAGUUUCCAGGGAGCCUGAGCAGGCUACUUGUGGGGCCCUUCCUCCUACAGCGUAAAUGGCUACUGGAGGGUGACUUAUGAUCUGGGAAGAGCCCCUGUAUCUGGAGACUUUCACCUUUGCAGAGGAAAGAAAUUCUCGCUAUAGGUGGCAUUGACCUCCCUGUUCUGCAUCUUCAAGGCAGGACUUAAAUCCCGGAGGGCCUUCGAUCUGCUACUUUACUUAUUAGUAUGGGUAGAUGUGGGGUCUUAUUAUACCCUCCUCUGCCAACGCAGGAUACUGCGUGUUAGUACUUAUUACAGAGGGUGUGAGAAAAACGGAACAAGAAUCUCAAUUUGACUUUGAGGGUGCUAUUAUUGUUUUUGCUCCACGUGUUCAUUCAAAUACUAAUAUACUCACACAUUAACAGGGUACCUACACACAUAUUCUCUCAUGUAUGCAUCACAACACAUGGCUGAAGGAGGGAGAGAUGGUGAUGAUAUAUGCCUAUUUUAAAGAAGGCUCAGAGGGGCCAAGUAAUUUAUGCAGGUCACACAGCUCAGAGUGCUAGAGCUGGAGUUUAAACAGAAGUCUGACAAAUGAUCAUUGAUUACCUUUUUUGUGACUCAGAGAAAUGGUCUUAGCCAAAAUUAAUAUGUUUGUUAUGUUAAUCUUCAGAAAUUAUUAGUCACAAUAAACAUUGUUCACAUUUUGAAAACAAUUAUAGAAUCGCAUUUGCUCAGAUCACAAGAUGAUACUGAUAAUUGCCGAGAAAUCAAAUCAUAACUAAAUUUAAGUUUACAUGUUAACAAGGAAAAUUAAACAUCCUUUCAAAAUGUUUGCAGCAGAUAAAGUUAUAUUUUAUGUUAGGUGUAGCUGCAUUGAAUAUGCUGUAAAUGAAAGGGAUUGAGUUCUGCUAACAUAAAAGUCGGGGGGCUUACAAGCGUUGGUUGGUUCUGAAAGCUGAUGCAUUUUCACUUUAGGACUGUGCAAAUGUACUUAUUUAUGCAUAUAUAGCCAUGAAGUGUAACCAGGGCUAGUCCCAAACUAACUCAGACCAUCAGCUCCCUUUACCAAGCCCAUGCUAUCUCUGAGUGUAUUAAGGGCUUUGCUUAUGUUAUGUUGUAAUUACUCAUCACUAACAAAUAGCUUGUAAGGUACCAUUUGCCUGAUGAAGACAUGCAGAACCAGAAAGUAAGACAUUAUUUUAGAAACAGAGAAAUGACUUGGAGCGUAGGCCUAACUCAAAAGCCCAUGCUUGUCACCUAAAUCUCCCAGAGAUAGAGCCCCAGGCAUUUAGCAAGAUCUCUUGCUCCUAAAAGCUGCCUCCAUGUGCCUUCCAACCCUAGAGCUUCUUAAGUAUUGCAAUUACCGGGAAGUAAGGGAGAUCAGAACCUUCUACUCUCAUUCCACAUUCCUAAAGUUGACAAACUCAGAUUGCAAUUGAAAUGUAUUUGAAAUGUCAGAUGUUUAAAUUUGUUUUAGUGCAAGUUUGAUGAAAUAAGAACUUUAAACAAUUAUAUAUAUCUUUCAGGACAGAAAAUAGAAAAGAAAAAGAAAGUAUUUGCUUCAGUGGCUUGCUAAAGGCUUCUCUUAUCUUGAAAGACCUGGGUAAUUGCCUCAAUUUUCCACUUCUCUUUUCAUGUCCAGAUAGGGCCUCAUUUUUUUUGAGAGUUUUUUCUACCAACUGGUUCCACUAUAUUUGAAGUUUUCAAUUGUCUCAAGUAGAAUGUAAUAAGGUCUUUUUCUUAGGUACCUCUUGUAAAAGUAUUUUAGAAGAUUAUUAGAAUAUGUAUACUUGAGUUGGCAGUGUUAGCAAAUAUUCACAUCCCUUCAAUGGCAGUAGCUUUGUGGGAUGAUAGAAAUUGUGCAGUAAGUUGGGACUAUAAUCAGCCAUUAACAUUAAACAUCAGGUAUAAAUGUCAUUCUUCUGUUUCACCUCCACCUCUAAAAAAAAAAAAAA
rnacentral:lncRNA from 10 species